rnacentral:rRNA from 1 species
UACGGGGGGGGCAAGCGUUGUUCGGAAUUACUGGGCGUAAAGGGCUCGUAGGCGGCCAACUAAGUCGGAUGUGAAAUCCCCAGGCUCAACUUGGGAACUGCAUCCGAUACUGGAUGGCUUGAAUUCGGGAGAGGGAUGCAGAAUUCCAGGUGUAGCGGUGAAAUGCGUAGAUAUCGUAAGGAAGACCAGUGGCGAAGGCGGAUCUCUGGACAGUUACUGACACUGAGGCACGAAGGCCAGGGGAGCAAACGGG